CUGUGCUGAUGGAUUAACAAGAGCCAUUGGCAGAUAGGUUUGUUAACCCAUUUACUGGCAGUACCCUGUACCACUGACGAGUAAAAUUUUCUGGCGCUGGACAAGGGAAGGGCGCAUUGCCAGCUAAUGCAUGGGUUAAACCACCGUGGUUAAACAUAAGAUUUAAUGCUCCAGGAAAUGUAAACAAACUAUCAGUGUGACAUCCCAGUUUAUAUAUUUAUACACUCGGAAUAUUGAUUUCUCGGUAAAUACAAAAUUAUUUUAAAGUAUAACAACCAGCGAAGACGUAAGCCACUAACUACCCUGCGCGGCUGCGCGCAGACUAUAUAAUGACAUAUAUAUAUUAUCCGUCCGGUCCGUCCGUCGCCAUCCGUCCGUCAUUCAUCCGUCCGUCCGUGUCCCCGUUUUAUCCUAACUCGUUUUUACUACACAAAGUUUGCAUAAUUAAGGCAGUGCGGUUCGUCAUGAUCAACAUUUUCAAAAGCGGCCAAUUAGACCAGGGGUUAAAGGGCAAUGACAAUGACAUGCAGGUGACAUUUAACAUUGUGUCUCACUAAUUAAAAUUUGCGUGUUUAUUAAUAAUAAUGUUUAUGAAAGAAAGCAAAAAUAUAUACAAGACAAUCUCACAUGUGAAAUUGUUUCA